rnacentral:rRNA from 1 species
UACGUAGGGGGCUAGCGUUGUCCGGAAUCAUUGGGCGUAAAGAGCGUGUAGGCGGUCCGGUAAGUCCGCUGUGAAAGUCGGGGGCUCAACCCUCGAAUGCCGGUGGAUACUGUCGGGCUAGAGUGCGGAAGAGGCGAGUGGAAUUCCUGGUGUAGCGGUGAAAUGCGCAGAUAUCAGGAGGAACACCUAUUGCGAAGGCAGCUCGCUGGGACGUAACUGACGCUGAGACACGAAAGCGUGGGGAGCAAACAGG